CCAUGCAGCUGCAGCUGUGACAAAAUACGAGGAAGCGUUCGACCUUUAGCGCACUGACGGGAAAGUGCACAGAUACAUGAAACUGCAGCCCCUUCAGGAAUCUGCAUCUGAUUGCAAGAUGCUACAUCUUAAGAAAACACCAGCAAGUAGAAAAGCAGUAAAAGGGCAUCUGAAGAACUGCACCGACUGUUAAAAGAAAGAGUGGAUUAAUCGGUGUAGUGAAGGAGAGAAAGAAGCAAGUGAGUGAGCACAAUAAAAAGGGAGCUCAGAAAAGGCUUUGGGGUCCUCAGGGUCAGGUCGUUGUUGGAUCAGUUUCCCCCAACCAUCACCAUCUCAGCUGUAGCAGUCCAUCACAGAAGGCCCAAGCACUGGACUGGGAGCCCCUAAACCAACAGUGACUGGCCACAGAGAAGGCAUUUAAUAUUCCAUCACUGGGAUCAACUCACAGGAUCCAGGUUUCUAUGGAUGGACAGCAGAUCUGACAUCCUGUCACUGAACCCGGGAGCAAAGUUCUCUGGAUUGAUUGCCA